GGAAUUCNUAGUGUAGCGGUGAAAUGCGUAGAUAUUAGGAAGAACACCAGUGGCGAAGGCGACUUUCUGGACGAAAAUUGACGCUGAGGCGCGAAAGCCAGGGGAGCGAACGGGAUUAGAUACCCCGGUAGUCCUGGCCGUAAACGAUGGNUACUAGGUGUAGGAGGUAUCGACCCCUUCUGUGCCGGAGUUAACGCAAUNAAGUACCCCGCCUGGGGAGUACGACCGCAAGGUUGAAACUCAAAGGAAUUGACGGGGGCCCGCACAAGCGGUGGAGUAUGUGGUUUAAUUCGACGCAACGCGAAGAACCUUACCAGGUCUUGACAUUGAUGGACAGAACCAGAGAUGGUUCCUCUUCUUCGGAAGCCAGAAAACAGGUGGUGCACGGUUGUCGUCAGCUCGUGUCGUGAGAUGUUGGGUUAANNNNNNNNAANNAGCGCAACCCCUAUCUUAUGUUGCCAGCACUUCGGGUGGGAACUCAUGAGAGACUGCCGCAGACAAUGCGGAGGAAGGCGGGGAUGACGUCAAAUCAUCAUGCCCCUUAUGACCUGGGCUACACACGUACUACAAUGGGAGUUAAUAGACGGAAGCGAAACCGCGAGGUGGAGCAAACCCGAGAAACACUCUCUCAGUUCGGAUCGUAGGCUGC
rnacentral:rRNA from 1 species